rnacentral:rRNA from 1 species
ACGAACGCUGGCGGCGUGCUUAACACCUGCACGUCGAACGGAAAGGCCCUGCUUUUGUGGGGUGCUCGAGUGGCGAACGGGUGAGUAACACGUGAGUAACCUGCCCUUGACUUUGGGAUAACUUCAGGAAACUGGGGCUAAUACCGGAUAGGAGCUCCUGCUGCAUGGUGGGGGUUGGAAAGUUUCGGCGGUUGGGGAUGGACUCGCGGCUUAUCAGCUUGUUGGUGGGGUAGUGGCUUACCAAGGCUUUGACGGGUAGCCGGCCUCAGAGGGUGACCGGCCACAUUGGGACUGAGAUACGGCCCAGACUCCUACGGGAGGCAGCAGUGGGGAAUAUUGCACAAUGGGCGGAAGCCUGAUGCAGCAACGCCGCGUGCGGGAUGACGGCCUUCGGGUUGUAAACCGCUUUCGCCUGUGACGAAGCGUGAGUGACGGUAAUGGGUAAAGAAGCACCGGCUAACUACGUG